AACCGGAAGCAACCACUGGGUUGGCUACAAAAUGCUGUUCUUUGGGACAUAUUGACUAGGAUGGAUAUCUCAUGAAAGCGACCUUGAGGAUUGAAAAAUGUCAGCUACAAAAGAUCAACAAUUGAUGGAACCUGCAGAAGUACUGGAACCUGGCCAUGAAGAAAGCUGACAAGUUUGAAAAUUGCUAAAUAGACUAUGCACAGAUACAGCAAGAUCCAGAGAUCCCUUGAAUAAAUGGUGAUAUGAUAUCUAAUGACUUCUGCCUAUUGUGAAUGUGGAGACCUGCAGACUGCCACACACAUGUACACUUGCUCCUUGUGCCCUGCCCAAUGUAUUCUUGAGGACUUUAUGACCGCACAACAGAAUGGAAUGGAAGUUGCACGCUUCUGGACAAACACGGCCUAAAUUAGCCUUUUAUACAUUUUAUGUUCUUAUGUUUGUACUUAGACCUAUGCAUACCAUUUUAAUAAUGAUGCUUCUGACAUGAAUAAAUAAAGAAAUCUUUCCUAGCUAA